UACAUGGAGAUUUUAGGAGCUGAUAUUAAAA
rnacentral:piRNA from 1 species